GUUAGUGAUAACUUGGGAACCCGCGGUGACGUACUUC
rnacentral:rRNA from 1 species